rfam:Schistosoma curassoni strain Dakar, Senegal genome assembly, scaffold: SCTD_scaffold0000346
AUCCAGCUGACGAGUCCAAAACAAGGCGAAAAUCACAUCCUGGAU